UACAGCGGCGAUAUGCGAUGCGUGCUUGCACGUAAGAGCAUAUCGACAUUGGACAGGCUGACCCACAUGAGCAAGUGGCCUGUCAGGGCGGAUUGCGAAUGAUGGGUGCAAUUGCGAGAGUGACAUAGUCACGGAGCAAUUG
rnacentral:sRNA from 1 species